rnacentral:rRNA from 1 species
AAUGAACGCUGGCGGCAUGCCUAACACAUGCAAGUCGAACGAGACCUUCGGGUCUAGUGGCGCACGGGUGCGUAACGCGUGGGAAUCUGCCCCUUGGUUCGGAAUAACUCAGAGAAAUUUGAGCUAAUACCGGAUAAUGACGUAAGUCCAAAGAUUUAUCGCCUAGGGAUGAGCCCGCGUAGGAUUAGCUAGUUGGUGGGGUAAAAGCCUACCAAGGCGACGAUCCUUAGCUGGUCGAGAGGAUGAUCAGCCACACUGGGACUGAGACACGGCCCAGACUCCUACGGGAGGCAGCAGUGGGGAAUAUUGGACAAUGGGCGAAAGCCUGAUCCAGCAAUGCCGCGUGAGUGAUGAAGGCCUUAGGGUUGUAAAGCUCUUUUACCCGGGAAGAUAAUGACUGUACCGGGAGAAUAAGCCCCGGCUAACUCCGUGCCAGCCGCCGCUGUAAG